GAGGCUGCACUUCAUUAUAAAUCAUGCUGCAGUUUCCAUGAGAUCAUCAGCUUGUAUUCAGGAGGAGCGACGUCCCACAGUGACGACCUUCUAUCAAAGUGAACUUUGACCCCCGAAGGAAGGAAGACGAUUCGGGGGCCGGACGGUCCCCUUGUGGGACGUGCGUCACAGCGCGUGGGAGCAGGUGGGCUGUGAGAACGCAGCAGGACCAGCCAAAAGAAAAAAAAGAAAAGAAAACCCGGAGUUUGACCACGACGACCUGGAGUCCAGACAGUCGACAUCGAUGGAGUAAAAGGCGGGAAACGUG